rnacentral:rRNA from 1 species
UACGGGGGGAGCAAGCGUUGUUCGGAUUUACCGGGCGUAAAGGGCGCGUAGGCGGUCAGCACAAGUCAGUUGUGAAAUCUCCGAGCUUAACUCGGAAAGGUCAACUGAUACUGUGCGACUAGAGUGCGGAAGGGGCAACUGGAAUUCUUGGUGUAGCGGUGAAAUGCGUAGAUAUCAAGAGGAACACCUGCGGCGAAGGCGGGUUGCUGGGCUGACACUGACGCUGAUGCGCGAAAGCCAGGGGAGCGAACGGG